GGGGCAGUAGCUCAGUUGGGAGAGCGUAUCGCUCGCAAUGAUAAGGUCAGGGGUUCGAUCCCUCUGCUCCACCA
rnacentral:tRNA from 1 species